GUACGAAGUAAAUGUACCCAGGGCGCGUUGGACACUCUUACAACGGACACUCAGUCGACGGAAACCAUCAGUUGAGGGUCGGGGAUUAUUAUAAUUGGACUUCCCUGGUGGCGCAGUGGUUAAGAAUCUGCCGGCCAAUGCAGGGGACACGGGUUCGAGCCCUGGUCCGGGAAGAUCCCACGUGCCGCGGAGCAACUAAGCCGUGUGCCACAACUACUGAGCCUGCGCUCUAGAACUCGCGAGUCACAACUACUGAAGCCCGUGCACCUAGAGCCCGUGCUCUGCAACAAGAGAAGCCACUGCAAUGAGAGGCCUGCGCACAGCAAUGAAAAGUAGCCCCUGCUCGCUGCAACUAAAACAAACAAAAAAAGAAAGCCCGCGAGGAGCAACAAAGACUCAACGCGGCCAAUAAUAAGAAGUAGCUGCAAGGAGGAGGCUAUUCCCAGGGCUUUGGCCUGUACGCAUCCCCCAGACCUGAAAUUUUAUUGGAACUGUGGAAAUGGAGCAGUGGUUUCACUUUUCACUCUGCCUUCAUUGGGACUCCCUGGAAGAAGUGCUGUGCCAGUGACUGGUGUUUCUCCUGAAUAAAGCAUCUUGGCCUUAAUGACCGGAGGUUUGGAUCCUCUGGUUUCAUCUAAAUUAUACCCUCUGAUUGAUUUAAGAUGUUAUUUUUUCUUUCAUUUCUUUUAAACAGAACUACUGAUCUUUGAAAAAUUUAAAUAGCAUCUGUACGACAAUUUGGAAGCGAAAGAAAUAUAAUGUGUUAUUUUCCAAUAGGGUCUAUGACUAAGGCAGGGCAGAUAUCAUUAAUUCUAUAGAGGAGGAAACAGAGGAACACGUCCUCCACACCUGGUAAUAUUUAGUGCCCUUCCCGCUCUAUCUGCCGGCUUUGCCGGACUCAUCCCACACCGAUUUUCUCCUGGUCUCUCUCUCUGAGUCCCUCCACUGACU